rnacentral:lncRNA from 1 species
CUCCUUUUAACUGUAAUUGCCGUUUCUUCUUGUUUUAACUGUUAUUUUCGUUUCCUCUUGUUUUAACUGUAAUUGCCGUUUCCUCUUGUUUUAACUGUAAUUGCCGUUUCUUCUUGUUGUGUGUCUACUGACCGUCGUCUCCUGUUCCAUGUUAAAUGUUUUGUAUUCUCUUUUUCAUGUGAAAUUACCGUUUAACACAUGUCUAGUCAAAUGUGUAAAUACCGCCCCAUUUUGUUUUAUGUGUUAUGGCCGUUUUCUUUUGUUUUAUGUUUAAUGGCAUUUUUGUUAGUGUUUAAUGUGUAAUGACCGUUUCUUCUUGUUUGAUGUACAAUUGCUAUUUCCGCCUGUUUUAUUUACAUUGGCCGUUCUCUCUUGUUUCAAGCGUAAUGGCCGUUUCCUAGUGAUUUAACUGUAGUUUUCGUUUCUUCUUGUUUGAACUGUAAUUGCCGUUUCCUCUUGUGUUAAUUGUAAUCGCCGUUUCCUUUUGUUUUAACUGAAAUUGCCGUUUCCUCUUGUUUUAACUGUAAUUGUCGUUUCAUCUUGUUUUAAUUGUAAUCGUCGUUUCCUCUUGUUUUAACUGUAAUUGUCGUUUCCUCUUGUUUCUGUAAUUGUCGUUUCCUCUUGUUUUAACUGUAAUUGUCCUUUCAUCUUGUUUUAACAGUAGUUGCCGUUUCCUCUUGUUUUAACUGUAAUUGUCGUU